CGUCCCUCCCUCCGUCCCUCCCUCCCUUCCUUCCUUCCUUCCUUCCUUCCUUCCUUCCCUCCUUCCUUCCUUCCUUUUGACAGGGUCUUAAACAGCACAGGCUGGCUUUGACCUCUGUAUGGCCAAGGAUGGCCUUGAUUCCUGAUCUUCCUGACUCUACCUCCCACUUGCUGGGAUUACAAAUGGGUGUCACCAUGCCCAGUUUAAAUGCUGUGUGGGGUCAAACCCAGAGCUUUGUGCCUAGUAGGCCAGCACUGUGCCCCCCUGGAACUCUGUCCCUAGCACCAGCCUCACUGAACUUUAAUUGUUCCUUUCCUGACCUUUUCAUAAAACUGGGGAUAUAGAAAAAGUCAGAGAAAUGACAUUUCCACUGGCUAUAAAUCAUCUUCUACCCCCGAAUUUGAAUAUUUGUGGUCAGGUUGGUCAAAUCUAGUUUCUGAAGGGAGACGGACUUUGACAUUACAAAUAGAACAGCACUCUACACUUACCCUGUGACAUACCAUUCUGAUGGGAAACUAAGGGCCAUGUCCACUUUGCUUAGGGCAAUCUUCAUGUGUGUGACAUCACUUUAACCUUCCUGAAUAAUUUAGAAUCCUAAAUGCUUUCUAUUUCUCCCCUAAACUUUCUGAAAAGAAAACUUGAAAUCCAUUAUUAAAAAUUUAAAGUUCAAAGCUUCUUGCACAUGGACAGUUGGGUGGCCUUAUCACACCUUUAGCUCCGUUGACCCUCAAAUGGGUUUUAAAGGGUGCAUGUCUGUGCCUGGGUCCCUCAGAGGAUGGGCUGGGGACUGGCAGUCACAGUGUAUGAACCAACCUGAGAGCAGUGGUUAAUGCCAAUGUGAUAGCAGGCCAACGGUCUACAAGACAAGAUGGAAAAAGCAAACAGAAAAAACUGGAAAAAGGUUAGGAAGUGCUUGCUUGUUGAGAAGAGUGGAAACACAAGCUAGCCUAUGACACCAGUCAUGCAUGGGGUGAGUGGGCCAGUUUACAUUCAGUGACGUUAUCUCGCAUGCUUUGGUUAAUAGUCAGAGGCAGGUUUUAAGUACUGGUGCAUGCAAUAGUUUUUUGUACCUGAGGUUAUAUGUUUUGUUUUGUUUUUUUUAAAAAUUGCCUUUGUACAAACUUUAUGCCAGAGUUGAUCUAUGAACACUCUUUAAAAAUAUAUGGAUCUACUUCUUAGCUCAAAACAGCUUAAUUCAGCCAGUCCUAUAAACAGUGUGAGGAAUAGGGUAGGGAACUCUGCACAGGGAACCAGUGUGAAGCUAUGUUACAAGGUUGAAGUCAUGGAUGCUGCCCCUGUGUUCGUUUCCAAAAUCAGAGGUCUCAGAAAGGUGGCACACAAAUUAAAUCUUCCAAAUACCCAGUUUCUAGAAUGCUUCUAGAAGCAUGUCAGGGUGGGAAAAAAAAUCCUACCAUCGUCACAACACUAAUGUAAGUGCAACUCAACCUUGAAGCAAUUCAGAGACAAAUGAUGAGUGAGCACCCUCUUCUCUCUGUUUUCCCCAGGAGGGCACAGAUAAACUCUAUGGUAAGAGGUUUGGGAGAUGUGAGAUGGACUGCAAUUACAGUCAAGUCUAGCCUGGAUGGUGGGAGUAUCCCAGAAUGAUUUAUCUAUAAAAGACUACGGAUACUGAUCUACUUGUCAAUACAACCUCUCCAUGAGAAUGGCCUGGAAAUCUGAGAGUGAGUAUAUUCUGGACAUUCCUACCCAAUUCUGGCAGAAAUCAGACUGGCUGAGAAAGUGCACUUCAUUGUUAGUUAUUAAAGUUUCUGGUGGGUCAUUGAGAGGGGUGUCAGGAUGAAGUGCAGAGAACACAGAAUCACUGAGACUGACUGGUUAGAAGGUUCUUCACUCUUCAUCUCUACAGCGCCACCUAUAGCCCAGGAAGACCUUAACCUCCCGAUCUUCCUCUUGCACUUUCCAAGUGCUGGGAUUACUGUGUACACCAACAUGGUUAGUUUAUGCGAUGGUGGGCACGUGGUACCCACUGAGCUACAUCCCCAGUCUCCCUCUGUCCUGCCUCUUCUGUGCAUAGAGAUAUUCUAUCGGAACUUAGCAAUGAUGAAUGGUUUCCUCUGGAUUUUCAUCCAACUUACUGGCAAAAUCAGUCCAGGGAAGCCACUGAGUGGCCAUCGCAUGAAUGAAUACCAUCCUCAGACUCCUCCCAGGGCCUCAAAAGAAUGCCUCAGUGUUUCAAAAGUGAACAGGCAAUUUCUUGCCAUAAGAAGCACUAACAGUUCUGCAUUUAAAAAGCAUAGAGGGGGGAAAAAAGCAAAGAAGACAUUGAAGUUUACUGCUUAGUGUCUGCUAGGGCUCUAUUUCACACAUUUUUACUUUUCAGUUAUUGGUUUUUACUUACUAUCAUUAUAAUGCCACGGGUUGCAACUCUUUCCCUCUUAGCAGUACUUUUGAACUUCCUGACAGGUGGUAGCCUAUAAACAUCUGGACUGUGAUGGAUAGAACUGAUGGAGUGGAUAAAGUCCCAUCAAAUGCCCUACAAAUUGUUCCCUAAUGGUAAAGUGGAAAAUUGUCAACUGUCCCCUAAAAUAACUCCCCAGAGUUUGAAGUUACUUUUUAUUCUAACGGCAACAUAAACUUGGGCCACAGUAUUCAACACAGUUCAGCAAUAUUCAAAUAAAGUCAGACUUCUCAUAUUUGUAUUAGUUGGGCUGUAUUUGUGAAGUGACAUGGAGGAGGGUAUGGUGGGUCAGCAUCCUGGCAACAUCAGGUGCUACUGAGGGCCUGGAAAAGCAUUAUCAUCAGCAGAAGAGUCAUGAACCCUUGGUUCACAAGCUUGGAAGGGACUCUGAGGGGUUCACAUCACCUUGUCAGUAUGUGAUACUUGGAGUGAGAAAGAAAAUAGGAAUGAUCACUAUACUAUCAGCAAUGUCCCAGCAGGCAAUGCCACUGUCUGCAGUCUGGCCCGAAGAGGUCUUCCCAAUCUGUUUCUAGCAGUCUAGAAAAUUCUGCUCCUCAAAAUACACUUGAGCUGUUCUUUGCUGCUCAGACUAUUAGAAAGUGUGACUUGUUUCCGUGUCCAGGAGUGGAUGCCCCGAUGCCUCCCAGUGCCUGCUGCCAACCUGGGGCUACUGCUCUGCCAUAGGGAGUAUUGACCAUGAAGAGCAAAGCCUGAGGCCACUACAGUGGUCUUAUCACCUUGUCCUUAAGAGCCAGGAAGCUUAGGUGACAGCUAAGCUUCAAGGACUUGUAGUGACCUAUGAACUUCAGGCAUCUCCCAAACCAGGGAACCAGAGUGGUCCAGUCUGCCUCUGGCAUGGUUUCAAUCAUUAGUAGAUGACUCCACAGUCUAUAUCUGCUUUCACCCAAAGUCUGGACGCUACAAUUGUUAGUGAAGUGAGUUAUUAGUGAGCAACGGAUAUGAAAGUGUUGGGAUCAGACUACUUUCGGGAAGACUCUGAAGGCAGGAAGGCUACAGAGGGGAGACAAAUAGGGCAGUUUACUAAAAUUUGAGCUAAUCAAAGUGUUAUUUUGUAGUGUUUUGCCAACAUUUUUCUAAUUUUUAAAUGAAUGCAUCUUUUGAAAUGACCACUAAGCGCCCAAACACCCACUAAGUAAUCUGAAGAAAUCUGUAGGAGGCCAACAGUGAAGUCAGAUUUCUCGGCCAGUGGAGAAGGUCUGGCUAUUGCUGAGUGUUGCAUGUGUCUUCCUGCUGCUCUGUACUGCUGGGUUACAAAUGUGACCCUCCUGUCACUUACAAUGUGAGGAUGUGGACAGUUGGGGUGGGGGUGGGGGUGUGUGUGCAGUGGCGGGAGGUGGUAGUGGUUGUUACGGAACUCAGGAAACACUUCGACUUUAGGAAAAUUGUAUUUAACACGCUUAAGAAAUACCAUUUGAAAUAGUAACAGUUUAAAGGAAAUAUCAUUGUGCAAGGCAGUUAGAGAGCCAGGAAAACAGGAUAUUAAAACAAGUUUAACACAACUCAUUAGAAAUUGCAGAAUCGCCAAGCUCCCUUCUGCAGGGAGAGCGCCCUGGGAACUUUGCUUCACAAGAGAUCCAUGGGCUCCCAGAAAGCACACAAAGAAAAUUGUGUUUAACAUAUUUACAUUCUAUGCAAACACACUUCCCAAACCCUCUGCUAAGAAAAACUAUUCUUAUAAUUUUUUUAUUUGGUCCACUGAGCUAACAACUCUGAGUUCUGAAGUCUUUUAUCCCACCCUUCCCUACCCCCCAAGUUAGAAACUGGAGCAGCAAGCCAGAAGCCCGGCAAGGCAUAAAUAAGAUAUUAAAGUGCUUAUGUACAAUCCUAGAAAGGAUUUCAUUGGGAACAGCAAAAACUUCUAGUGCAAAAACUGCUUUCGCCAGCAAAGCUCUCUGUCUCUGAAAACAAAGGCUUACAGUCAAGGUUAGAGUGGGCGAGAGGGAAGCAAUGGCUGCAUGUGUACAUUUGCCAGUGGCCCAAACUAUGUUCAGUCUUGCAAAAGGGUAGACAAAGACAGCCUGAGUUCACUGACUGUGGACAAAUUGUCAUGUUAUGUCCCAAGAGUGUCCCUCAGAUGUGCCACCAGCUGGGACAGGAACAAUAUAACUCAAAGUACACUUGCAAUUUGGAAGCGAGUGCAGUUACCUUAUCUUGGUUUGUCCUGAGAAUCUCAGUUCUUCUCUUGACCCCGACCUUCGCUUUGUGCUUUUGGGUCUGAACAGAGACUGGAUCUGUAGAAAUCAAUUCCCUUGGCUUAUAUGACCAUGGCCUUUUGCCUCUCAGCUUUAUCCUUUUUUAAAAAAAAUGUGUUUUGGAAAUUCAUAAUAAAAUAGUUUUGUCCCUUUUUAGUAUAAUAACACAGAAGACACAUUAGUAUCCUUUAUUAUUCUUGUCUUCUUUUCCUUCAAGGAUCCAAAUUGAAAGCUCUCAGGAGGACAUCCAAGUCACCGAGGUUGGCGGCCUGGAAGAGCUCCGGCUGGUCCAUCAGCGACAGGGCAAUCCUGAGGGCGGCCCAGAUGUUCCCGGAGAUGGCAGGGUGAGGGACUUGCUGCUGGUUCCUGCUCUUCCUCUGCAAGCUGAGGGCAGUGAGGAAGUUGCUGACCGCUUCUC
rnacentral:lncRNA from 1 species